rnacentral:rRNA from 1 species
GUGGAAAACCUGCCGUAUACUGGGGGAUAACACUUAGAAAUAGGUGCUAAUACCGCAUAAGCGCACAGCUUCGCAUGAAGCAGUGUGAAAAACUGAGGUGGUAUACGAUGGUUCCGCGUCUGAUUAGCUAGUUGGUGGAGUAAAAGCCUACCAAGGCAACGAUCAGUAGCCGGCCUGAGAGGGUGAACGGCCACAUUGGGACUGAGACACGGCCCAAACUCCUACGGGAGGCAGCAGUGGGGAAUAUUGCACAAUGGGGGAAACCCUGAUGCAGCGACGCCGCGUGAGUGAAGAAGUAUUUCGGUAUGUAAAGCUCUAUCAGCAGGGAAGAAAUACUGACCAUAGGGUCAGCAGACGGUACUUGACUAAGAAGCCCCGGCUAACUACGUGCCAGCAGCCGCGGUAAUACGUAGGGGGCAAGCGUUAUCCGGAUUUACUGGGUGUAAAGGGAGCGUAGACGGCAGCGCAAGUCUGAAGUGAAAUGCCAGGGCUUAACCCUGGAACUGCUUUGGAAACUGUGCAGCUAGAGUGCAGGAGAGGUAAGUGGAAUUUCUAGUGUAGCGGUGAAAUGCGUAGAUAUUAGGAGGAACACCAGUGGCGAAGGCGGCUUACUGGACUGUAACUGACGUUGAGGCUCGAAAGCGUGGGGAGCAAACAGGAUUAGAUACCCUGGUAGUCCACGCUGUAAACGAUGAUUACUAGGUGUUGGGGGACCAAGGUUCUUCGGUGCCGUCGCAAACGCAAUAAGUAAUCCACCUGGGGAGUACGUUCGCAAGAAUGAAACUCAAAGGAAUUGACGGGGACCCGCACAAGCGGUGGAGCAUGUGGUUUAAUUC